rnacentral:rRNA from 1 species
AACGAACGCUGGCGGCAUGCCUAACACAUGCAAGUCGAACGAGAUCUUCGGGUCUAGUGGCGCACGGGUGCGUAACGCGUGGGAAUCUGCCCUUUGGUUCGGAAUAACAGUUGGAAACGACUGCUAAUACCGGAUGAUGACGAAAGUCCAAAGAUUUAUCGCCAGAGGAUGAGCCCGCGUAGGAUUAGCUAGUUGGUGUGGUAAAGGCGCACCAAGGCGACGAUCCUUAGCUGGUCUGAGAGGAUGAUCAGCCACACUGUGACUGAGACACGGCCCAGACUCCUACGGGAGGCAGCAGUGGGGAAUAUUGGACAAUGGGCGAAAGCCUGAUCCAGCAAUGCCGCGUGUGUGAUGAAGGCCUUAGGGUUGUAAAGCUCUUUUACCCGGGAUGAUAAUGACAGUACCGGGAGAAUAAGCUCCGGCUAACUCCGUGCCAGCCGCCGCAGUAA